rnacentral:rRNA from 1 species
UACGUAGGGUGCAAGCGUUAAUCGGAAUUACUGGGCGUAAAGGGUGCGCAGGCGGUUCUGUAAGUCAGAUGUGAAAUCCCCCGGGCUUAACCUGGGAAUUGCGUUUGAAACUGGCGAGCUUGAGUGUGGCAGAGGGGGGUGGAAUUCCGCGUGUAGCAGUGAAAUGCGUAGAGAUGCGGAGGAACACCGAUGGCGAAGGCAGCCCCCCUGGGCUAACACUGACGCUCAGGCACGAAAGCGUGGGGAGCAAACAGG